rnacentral:rRNA from 1 species
UACGGAGGAUGCAAGCGUUAUCCGGAAUGAUUGGGCGUAAAGCGUCCGCAGGUGGCUGUGUAAGUCUGCUGUUAAAGAGUGAGGCUCAACCUCAUAAAAGCAGUGGAAACUACACGGCUAGAGUGCGUUCGGGGCAGAGGGAAUUCCUGGUGUAGCGGUGAAAUGCGUAGAUAUCAGGAAGAACACCGGUGGCGAAAGCGCUCUGCUAGGCCGCAACUGACACUGAGGGACGAAAGCUAGGGGAGUCGAAUGGG